AUUAUGACUAUCUAAUGACUAUUUUAUAGUUUAGUAAUUGCCCACACACAACCUCUAAAUCCUUUCAAAAUAAAAGCACCAAUGUAAUUCAUUACCUUAAAUGGCAAGAUUUUUGUUUCUGACUGGUAAAUAUCUACUACUUAUUAAACGAUUACACAGUUAGGUAAUGCUUUACAAAUAGUUUCUUCAAAUCAAAAAGCUAGUCAGCUUAUUUAUGAUUGUCAACAAUGCACCUUGGUCAACUUUUUAAUCUUUGACAUCUUUUCAGCUCGGUCAAAUUAGGAAUUUUUUUAAAUCACCAUCUUUUGUCAUCGUUUUAUUCUUUGUCAACGUUUUCUCGUUUUCAUCGUUUUCAUCUUUUUGCCGUAGUCUACUUUUGGACGCAGUCAACUUUUUGACGUCAGCAGCUUAAUCAGCGUCUGUCAUCGUUGCGGCAGCAGAUAAGCUCUCCCACGUAAUUUCUCGAGAAAUUACUUUUUCUAGUUUUUCUUACUAUUAUUAUUUCGCCCCGUUUUUCGGUCGCUUUCAUCGUCUCAACGCUUCGUCGUAGAAUCGCCGUUCAACUUUCUAAACGUGUUUCGUCUUUAGGAGAUGGGGGCUAUUACUUUUCACGUUUUCAGCUUUUCAACUUUUAACGUUAUUCAACGUUUUUCGUCGUUUUUGUAUAAUGGUCAUCUCGUCUAUGGGAAUCAUCGUUCAACUUUUUGUCAACUUGCCUCUUUUCGUCAGCUUCUGUCAUCGUCAUAAUUUGGCGUAGAAACGUCAUUUCAACGUCAAAAGCGUCUAUCAUCUUUCAGCGUUCUCCGUGUAAAUCAGCGUCCUCGUAUAUUUUAUAGUUUUCGACUUGUGAGCGUUUAAAUAUGGUGUGGUUUUUGUUAAAUUUUCAGCUUUUCCAUUAGUGUGUAUUGCGUGUGCUAGAGUGCAUGAUGUCACAGCUACAGUGAGAAGGUGCCCGUUUUUAAGACAGAACUUCUGUCUCUAACUCGUCACUACAGCCACAAUUUUUACUCUAUCAACGUAAUUACUUCACUAAAUGGUAGUCAUACUUGUCUUCUUUCUAAUGAUGUGUCUGGCUUUACCCUUAGACCUAUACGUUAGUCGCUAUCAACCUCAAAGCGCAGAGAGAUCCCGAAAUUCUCCCAUAGACUCUAAUGAUCAUUUUCGGUAGACGUCUGGGGAGAAAAACAGAGGAGACAUAUUUUGAAAUUGCCACUGUGGCUACAAGCUUUUGUCCUCAAACAUAAAAUUCACACCAUUUGCUCAUUGAAGCCUUGGGACUCGUAAAAUGAAAUAAUCUUUGUGAUAACUAUCGUGGUUUAGCUGGAACAAGCCUGUUUAUACAGGGUGAAACUCUGCUUUUACAGAGCAGAGUGAGCCUGAUUUUCCCGCCUUUCGUCUCCAUGGCGACGGCGCAGCUGCAGAUGUCACUGACAGGUCAAACUCCUGAUGCUCAGUGUAGACAGCAGUUCCAUGCUUAUUACUGAUUACUCAACUACACUAUUGGAUUGUGUAGUAAUUAAGCACACACUUCCUCUAAAUCCUUUAAAAAAAAAGCACCAAGCCAAAUAAUUAGCUUUAAUAGCAAUAUUUCUGCUUUUAGAUGGGUAAUUAUGACUAUUUAAAGAUAGAUUAACAGUUUAGUAAUUACCCACACAUGCUUCCUCUACAUCCUUUCAAAAUAAAAGCACCAAUGCCAAAUAUUAGCUUUAACUG
ensembl:lncRNA